rnacentral:rRNA from 1 species
GAUGAACGCUGGCGGCGUGCCUAAUACAUGCGAGUCGAGCGGCAGCACGGUCUUCGGACUGGUGGCGAGCGGCGGACGGCUGAGUAACGCGUAGGAACAUGCCCUAAAGUGAGGAAUAACUGCCCGAAAGGGUGGCUAAUGCCGCAUGUGCUCUUCGGAGUAAAGCUUUAUGCGCUUUAGGAGUGGCCUGCGUCCGAUUAGCUAGUUGGUGAGGUAAAUGCUCACCAAGGCGACGAUCGGUAGCUGGUCUGAGAGGAUGAUCAGCCAGACUGGAACUGAGAACGGUCCAGACUCCUACGGGAGGCAGCAGUAGGGAAUUUUCCACAAUGGGCGAGAGCCUGAUGGAGCAACGCCGCGUGCAGGAUGAAUGCCUUCGGGUUGUAAACUGCUUUUAUGUGCGAAGAAUAUGACUGUAACACAUGAAUAAGGAUCGGCUAACUACGUGCCAGCAGCCGCAGUAA